UACGUAGGGACCAAGCGUUGUUCGGAUUUACUGGGCGUAAAGGGCGCGUAGGCGGCGCGGUAAGUCACUUGUGAAAUCUCUGAGCUUAACUCAAAACGGCCAAGUGAUACUGCAGUGCUAGAGUGUGGAAGGGGCAAUCGGAAUUCUUGGUGUAGCGGUGAAAUGCGUAGAUAUCAAGAGGAACACCUGAGGUGAAGACGGGUUGCUGGGCCAACACUGACGCUGAGGCGCGAAAGCCAGGGGAGCAAACGGG
rnacentral:rRNA from 1 species